rnacentral:rRNA from 1 species
CUUGGUCAUUUAGAGGAAGUAAAAGUCGUAACAAGGUUUCCGUAGGUGAACCUGCGGAAGGAUCAUUAUGAAUUAAUAAUAUUUGUGAAAUUUCAACAAACAACAUCAAUUUUAUAGUCUAUUAUUUUUAAUUAAAACUUUUAACAAUGGAUCUCUUGGUUCUCGUAUCGAUGAAGAACGCAGCGAAACGCGAUAUUUCUUGUGAAUUGCAGAAGUGAAUCAUCAGUUUUUGAACGCACAUUGCACUUUGGGGUAUCCCCCAAAGUAUACUUGUUUGAGCGUUGUUUCUCUCUUGGAAUUGCUUUGCUCUUCUAAAAUUUCGAAUCAAAUUCGUUUGAAAAACAACACUAUUCAACCUCAGAUCAAGUAGGAUUACCCGCUGAACUUAAGCAUAUCAAUAAGCGGAGGAAAAGAAACCAACAGGGAUUGCCCCAGUAACGGCGAAUCCCGCGG